rnacentral:lncRNA from 1 species
AUAGAAACAUCUACUCUACGAGACUACGUCCCCCAAAACCACCCCCAACGCUAAACCUAAAUCCCACCCACGCAGCGCCGACCAUCAUCUGCCUACCUUAGCCACACCUAGAACCACCGCCACCGCUGCAAUGCUGUUCUGAUUAAACACAUUAGAAAAAUUAGCUGAAAGAUUCGAAUAAAUCGAAAUGACUUUCCGGUAUUAAACCCACAUUUUCGCCAUAUUCCCAUGAUUGUUCGACUGGUGAUUCUUGUUAACUUGCUGAAUCAUAACCAAAUUCCUGUCCAACAAUGAUUGUACUUCUUGGAAAUUUUCAGUGAAGGCGGUAGAAGAGGCAGUCAAGAGGCUUCCCGAAAUCAAAGAGGCGGGGGUGGAUGUAUUGAAUGACAGAGCCGUAGUCAUGUUUUGUCCUGCUUUUGUUAGUGUAAUUUGAAGCUCAGUUUUUCCUUCUGGAUGGUGAUUUUAUUUGAUUUGUGCGCAGAACUUUUUUUUUUUUAUUUUAUUAAACGGGGCUGUGUGCUUUUGCUUUAAAUUUUAAGUGGUUUUAAUUGAUUAACUUACAGAUGAUCUAUGAAGAAUUACUGAUGUUGCUCUCUAUUUGUUCGUUGUUGCAUUCUUGGAGUUGAAUAUUUUCCAUUUUUCUUUUAGAUUUGAUUUUUGGAUCUCACUGGAAUUUUUUCUGAUCCUCCGCUGCUCCUUCGAAAUUGGACAAUAGUGGGUUGGGUGAGUUACGGCGAUGGUGGGAGUAGCAGUUGUCGCGGUUUUCCAUUAUUGAUUUGGCUGCGGUGGUGGAGAAUCUGGGGGUUAAAUGUGGGGAUAAGGGAGUAAAUUGUAGAUGGAUGAUUGGGAUAUUUGGCUGAUAUUUCUUGGCAAAAGAAUAGAUGAAGUGAAUCAAGUGAUGAUUUUGAGGUGGUGUGUGGGUGGCCGAUGGUGAGUGGAUUUUCUGGUUUGAUUUUUUGGGUGGAGUUGGGGUGGUGUGGGUUGUUUGAGGGAAGGAAGCUUUCAGUUUUAUUAUUUUAUAUUUAAAUUGUUUUAUAAGGUUUUAAUACAGCUAAUGAAUUUUAUAAUGUUCGUGUAGAGUAUAGAUUGGAAGGAUCAGUGUCAAUAAAAUGUGAUGUUUAUAGCUACGGUAUUAUGUUAAUGGAAGUAUUUACAUGAAUGAAACCAAGCAAUGA